CUAGUAGGUGGGGUAACGGCUCACCUAGGCGACGAUCCCUAGCUGGUCUGAGAGGAUGACCAGCCACACUGGAACUGAGACACGGUCCAGACUCCUACGGGAGGCAGCAGUGGGGAAUAUUGCACAAUGGGCGCAAGCCUGAUGCAGCCAUGCCGCGUGUAUGAAGAAGGCCUUCGGGUUGUAAAGUACUUUCAGCGGGGAGGAAGGCGAUGUGGUUAAUAACCGCGUCGAUAGACGUACCCGCAGAAGAAGCCC
rnacentral:rRNA from 1 species